rnacentral:rRNA from 1 species
AUACGUAGGGGGCAAGCGUUAUCCGGAAUCAUUGGGCGUAAAGAGUGCGUAGGUGGUUUCUUAAGCGUGGGGUUUAAGGCUACGGCUUAACCGUAGUUCGCCCCAUGAACUGGGAGACUUGAGUGCAGGAGGGGAAAGUGGAAUUCCUAGUGUAGCGGUGAAAUGCGUAGAUAUUAGGAGGAACACCAGUGGCGAAGGCGACUUUCUGGACUGUAACUGACACUGAGGCACGAAAGCGUGGGGAGCAAACAGGAUUAGAUACCCUGGUAGUCCACGCCGUAAACGAUGAGCACUAGGUGUCGGGGAGACAAUCCUCGGUGCCGCAGUUAACGCAUUAAGUGCUCCGCCUGGGGAGUACGUUCGCAAGAAUAAAACUCAAAGGAAUUGACGGGG